rnacentral:rRNA from 1 species
ACCGGAUAGGACGAAAGUUUAAAGGUGCUUCGGCACCGCUGAUGGAUGAGCCUGCGGCGCAUUAGCUAGUUGGUAGGGUAAAGGCCUACCAAGGCGACGAUGCGUAGCCGACCUGAGAGGGUGAACGGCCACACUGGGACUGAGACACGGCCCAGACUCCUACGGGAGGCAGCAGUAGGGGAUCUUCGGCCAAUGGGCGAAAGCCCUGACCGAGCAACCGCCGCGUGAAUGAUGAAGGCCUUCGGGUUGUAAAAUUCUGUUAUAAGGGAAGAAUGGCUCUAGUAGGAAAUGGCUAGAGUGUGACGGUACCUUAUGAGAAAGCCACGGCUAACUACGUGCCAGCAGCCGCGGUAAUACGUAGGUGGCGAGCGUUAUCCGGAAUUAUUGGGCGUAAAGAGCGCGCAGGUGGUUGAUUAAGUCUGAUGUGAAAGCCCACGGCUUAACCGCUGGAGGGUCAUUGGAAACUGGUCAACUUGAGUGCAGAAGAGGGAA